ACCGCCGCGUGAGUGAUGAAGGCUUUCGGGUCGUAAAACUCUGUUGUUAGGGAAGAACAAGUGCUAGUUGAAUAAGCUGGCACCUUGACGGUACCUAACCAGAAAGCCACGGCUAACUACGUGCCAGCAGCCGCGGUAAUACGUAGGUGGCAAGCGUUAUCCGGAAUUAUUGGGCGUAAAGCGCGCGCAGGUGGUUUCUUAAGUCUGAUGUGAAAGCCCACGGCUCAACCGUGGAGGGUCAUUGGAAACUGGGAGACUUGAGUGCAGAAGAGGAAAGUGGAAUUCCAUGUGUAGCGGUGAAAUGCGUAGAGAUAUGGAGGAACACCAGUGGCGAAGGCGACUUUCUGGUCUGUAACUGACACUGAGGCGCGAAAGCGUGGGGAGCAAACAGGAUUAGAUACCCUGGUAGUCCACGCCGUAAACGAUGAGUGCUAAGUGUUAGAGGGUUUCCGCCCUUUAGUGCUGAAGUUAACGCAUUAAGCACUCCGCCUGGGGAGUACGGCCGCAAGGCUGAAACUCAAAUG
rnacentral:rRNA from 1 species